rnacentral:tRNA from 1 species
GCGGUCGUCGUCUAGUCUGGUUCAGGACUCAGGCCUUCCAAGCCUGCAAUCCCGGGUUCAAAUCCCGGCGGCCGCA